AGGUCUUGUUCCCAGCUAACAGCAACACUCCCAGCCCCCGUAUCCCAUUCCGAAUCUAAGCUCCAUCUCUUCCGAACCAACCCAGCCAAAUUAAAUUCACAUCCUUCUCAGCAUGAUCCACGGGAUGGAUUCAGCUUCUUCCGCUAGAUCCCAGCAUCCUCUUCCUUCGGAAUAAAGUUCCAGCUCAUUCCCUCUUCUUCCGUGAUCCA
rnacentral:lncRNA from 1 species